rnacentral:rRNA from 1 species
UGGGGAAUAUUGCACAAUGGGCGCAAGCCUGAUGCAGCGACGCCGCGUGAGGGAUGACGGCCUUCGGGUUGUAAACCUCUUUCAGUGCCGACGAAGCGGAAGUGACGGUAGGCACAGAAGAAGGACCGGCCAACUACGUGCCAGCAGCCGCGGUAAUACGUAGGGUCCGAGCGUUGUCCGGAAUUACUGGGCGUAAAGAGCUCGUAGGUGGUUUGUCGCGUUGUCCGUGAAAACUCACAGCUUAACUGUGGGCGUGCGGGCGAUACGGGCAGACUAGAGUACUGCAGGGGAGACUGGAAUUCCUGGUGUAGCGGUGGAAUGCGCAGAUAUCAGGAGGAACACCGGUGGCGAAGGCGGGUCUCUGGGCAGUAACUGACGCUGAGGAGCGAAAGCGUGGGGAGCGAACAGGAUUAGAUACCCUGGUAGUCCACGCCGUAAACGGUGGGUACUAGGUGUGGGUUCUUUCCUGAGGAUCCGUGCCGUAGCUAACGCAUUAAGUACCCCGCCUGGGGAGUACGGCCGCAAGGCUAAAACUCAAAGGAAUUGACGGAGUGAGUGU